rnacentral:rRNA from 1 species
UACGUAGGGUGCAAGCGUUGUCCGGAAUUAUUGGGCGUAAAGGGCUCGUAGGCGGCCAACUAAGUCAGACGUGAAAUCCCUCGGCUUAACCGGGGAACUGCGUCUGAUACUGGAUGGCUUGAAUCCGGGAGAGGGAUGCGGAAUUCCAGGUGUAGCGGUGAAAUGCGUAGAUAUCUGGAGGAACACCGGUGGCGAAGGCGGCAUCCUGGACCGGCAUUGACGCUGAGGAGCGAAAGCCAGGGGAGCAAACGGG